rnacentral:rRNA from 1 species
AUUGAACGCUGGCGGCAGGCUUAACACAUGCAAGUCGAGCGGGGUGAUGGUGCUUGCACUAUCACUUAGCGGCGGACGGGUGAGUAAUGCUUAGGAAUCUGCCUAUUAGUGGGGGACAACAUCUCGAAAGGGAUGCUAAUACCGCAUACGUCCUACGGGAGAAAGCAGGGGAUCACUUGUGACCUUGCGCUAAUAGAUGAGCCUAAGUCGGAUUAGCGAGUUGGUGGGGUAAAGGCCUACCAAGGCGACGAUCUGUAGCGGGUCUGAGAGGGGAAUCCGCCACACUGGGACUGGGAGACGGCCCAGAACCCUACGGGAGGCAGGAGUGGGGAAUAUUGGGCAAUGGGGGGAACCCUGAUCCAGGCAUGCCGCGUGUGUGAAGGAGGCCUUAUGGUUGUAAAGCACUUUAAGCGAGGAGGAGGCUCUUUUGGUUAAUACCCAAGAUGAGUGGACGGUACUCGCAGAAUAAGCACCGGCUAACUCUGUGCCAGCCGCCGCCGUAA